AAUAGAUGACGCCGUUGACUUUUUCUCACAUGUUUGACCAUUCGUCUUAUUCAAAAAUUUACGUAAUUAUAUUUAUUUUGUUAUGAGUCAGUUUUAUCAUGUAUAGUACUUUAAUGUGUGAUUUAUAUCUUAUACAUUUGAAUAAAAUUUUUGAAUAAGACGAAUGGUCAAACAUGUGAGAAAAAGUCAACGGCUUCAUCUAUU
rnacentral:pre_miRNA from 1 species